GUGUCAGCAGCCGCGGUAAUACAUAGGCUCCAAGCGUUGUUCGGAAUUACUGGGCGUAAAGCGAGUGUAGGCUGUCCGCCAAGUCGAUUGUGAAAUCUCCCGGCUUAACUGGGAGGGUGCGGUCGAAACUGGCGGACUAGAGUUCGGGAGAGGAGAGUGGAAUUCCUGGUGUAGCGGUGAAAUGCGUAGAUAUCAGGAGGAACACCGGCGGUGAAGACGGCUCUCUGGACCGAUACUGACGCUGAGACUCGAAAGCGUGGGGAGCAAACAGGAUUAGAUACCCCGGUAGUCC
rnacentral:rRNA from 1 species